rnacentral:rRNA from 1 species
UGGGGGAUAUUGCACAAUGGGCGAAAGCCUGAUGCAGCGACGCCGCGUGGGGGAUGAAGGCCUUCGGGUUGUAAACUUCUUUUGCUCUGAACAAGGCAUGCUAAUGGGUGUGUUGAGUGUAGGGGUUGAUUAGCGCCGGCUAACUACGUGCCAGCAGCCGCGGUAAUACGUAGGGCGCGAGCGUUGUCCGGCAUUAUUGGGCGUAAAGGGCUUGUAGGUGGCUGGUUGCGUCUGUCGUGAAAGCUCAUGGCUUAACUGUGGGUUUGCGGUGGGUACGGGCUGGCUUGAGUGCAGUAGGGGAGGCUGGAAUUCCUGGUGUAGCGGUGGAAUGCGCAGAUAUCAGGAGGAAUACCGGUGGAGAAGGCGGGUCUCUGGGCUGUUACUGACACUGAGGAGCGAAAGCAUGGGGAGCGAACAGG